rnacentral:rRNA from 1 species
UACGUAGGGCCCGAGCGUUGUCCGGAGUUACUGGGCGUAAAGCGCGCGCAGGCGGCCCGUCAAGUCUGGCGUGAAAGCCCCCGGCUCAACCGGGGAGGGUCGUCGGAGACUGGCGGGCUUGAGGACGGCAGGGGUUGGUGGAAUUCCCGGUGUAGUGGUGAAAUGCGUAGAUAUCUGGAGGAACACCGGUGGCGAAGGCGGCAUCCUGGACCAAUAUUGACGCUGAGGAGCGAAAGCCAGGGGAGCAAACGGG